rnacentral:rRNA from 1 species
AACGAACGCUGGCGGCAGGCUUAACACAUGCAAGUCGAGCGCCUCGCAAGAGGAGCGGCCGUCGGGUGAGUACCGCGUGAGAACGUACCCUUAUCUUCGGACUAGCGCUGGGAAACUGGAAGUAGUACCGAAUGUGCCCUUAGGGGGAAAGAUUUAUCGGAUAAGGAUCGGCCCGCGGUGGCUUAGCCAGUUGGUGGGGUAAAGGCCUACCAAGGCGACGAUCCAUUGCUGGUCUGAGAGAAUGAUCAGCCACAUUGGGACUGAGACACGUCCCAAACUCCUACGGGAGGAAGCAGUGGGGAAUAUUGGACAAUGGGCCCAAGGCUGACCCAGCCAUGCCGUGUGAGUGAUGAAGGCCUUAGGGGAGGAAAGCUCUUUCACCGGAGAAGAUAAUGACGGUAUCCGGAGAAGAAGCCCCGGCUAACGUCGUG